GCCCCGGUAGCUCAGCUGGAUAGAGCGCUGGUCUCCGGAACCAGAGGUCGUGGGUUCGAAUCCCGCCCGGGGUA
rnacentral:tRNA from 1 species